CGUGGGGGGUGCUAUACAUGCAGUCGAGCGCGGGAAGCGAGCGGAUCCCUUCGGGGUGAAGCUCGUGGAACGAGCGGCGGACGGGUGAGUAACACGUGGGCAACCUGCCUGUAAGACCGGAAUAACCCCGGGAAACCGGGGCUAAUGCCGGGUAAUACUUUUCUUCGCAUGAAGGAAAGUUGAAAGAUGGCUUCUCGCUAUCACUUACAGAUGGGCCCGCGGCGCAUUAGCUAGUUGGUGAGGUAACGGCUCACCAAGGCGACGAUGCGUAGCCGACCUGAGAGGGUGAUCGGCCACACUGGGACUGAGACACGGCCCAGACUCCUACGGGAGGCAGCAGUAGGGAAUCUUCCGCAAUGGACGAAAGUCUGACGGAGCAACGCCGCGUGAACGAUGAAGGUCUUCGGAUCGUAAAGUUCUGUUGUUAGGGAAGAACAAGUACCGUGCGAAUAGAGCGGUACCUUGACGGUACCUAACGAGGAAGCCCCGGCUAACUACGUGCCAGCAGCCGCGGUAAUACGUAGGGGGCAAGCGUUGUCCGGAAUUAUUGGGCGUAAAGCGCGCGCAGGCGGUUCCUUAAGUCUGAUGUGAAAGCCCACGGCUCAACCGUGGAGGGUCAUUGGAAACUGGGGAACUUGAGGACAGAAGAGGAGAGUGGAAUUCCACGUGUAGCGGUGAAAUGCGUAGAUAUGUGGAGGAACACCAGUGGCGAAGGCGACUCUCUGGUCUGUCUCUGACGCUGAGGUGCGAAAGCGUGGGUAGCAAACAGGAUUAGAUACCCUGGUAGUCCACGCCGUAAA
rnacentral:rRNA from 1 species